ACGGUGGUGACGAAACAGGUAGACGUAAUAUGCUUAGGACAUAUUGAUUAAACACAUCAUAAGGGUUCAAAUCCCUUCUACCGUA
rnacentral:tRNA from 1 species